ensembl:lncRNA
UAAUUAUUAUAUUAAAAUAAUAAUUAUUUAAAUAUAAUUAACCAUUAUACCAAACCAAGGACUCGUGCAGUAUUUUCAUUUCGCUUUACUGCCGUCACGCUAAAAUAUCAUUCCUUUUUUUCCUAUGGAUUUCUUUCUUCUCUUCUUAAAACUUCUUUAACCCAGUGCCAAUGUUCUUGUACACACAUAUAUUUUGCAGCCACAGCAAAUAAACUCCACUUACCAUCAUGCCUUGCGCGCUGACGUCAGCCGCGGAGCAGCAUGUGCUGCGCUGCUGCGCUGCGGCUCUCCAACUAUGGCUCAGUGCGGCUCCGGCUGUGCGCGGCGGCGCAGCGCGUCGAGCUCCGCGGCUUCAGGUCACAGCUUCAUCAUUGCGCCGGACCACAAGGACGAAAGCGGCUACUUUGCUGCUCAUCGGAACUAAUCCCACCGAUCUAUCGCCUUGAUUGGACAGGAUUUACUCCAGGAUUCUUUUGGAGACUUUAACGCGAUUAAACGCUAUUUUCUUUUACAGCCGUGGCACCACUGGAGGAGUUCAUGUUGUUACAAACGUCGGGUGAAACUUUGUGAUGGAUUCAACGCGCCGGGCUGUGCAUCGACCUGUGGGAUAUGAGGAAAUACUGUCUCCGACACGGGAUGAACAGUGUCCAUUUGUCCCUCUGCGCUACAAGCAGCUGGUCGGACAGGAGCGUCUCUUGCGAUGCGCGCGGCCAGUGUCACAAAUAAUCCACACCAUGAUGCGGUUUUUGGAGAUCGAUAUUCGUUGAGCUGGAUUUUGGCAACUGGGGAAAAAGGAAUAUUCCGGAAUAUAAUUUGAAAGUGCUCAACAGAUGACCAGCAGUUCGGGCGGUGACUUGGCGCAUCCCUUCAUCCAGCAGUGAAGGAAUCCCAUUUCAUGGAAUGAGAGGCCAAUCUUUAAUUGCUUUCCAGGGAAUUUCUGACCCACAGAAAGGCCUCAUAUUUGGACUCUGGAGGACUCCGACUAGUCCAUCUGAUAGAUGUGGCCGCUCCCUACUCACCAGCCACCUCCAACUGGGCUACAUCAGCAGUACUGGGAGACCUGAGCGUACUGUGAUCCCACCAUGGGGUGUAUGGCUGUGGCUCCGGCUGCACUACACUCUAAUCCCCUUCCCUUUUAACCACAAUGGGAAACAUGUGCUUACUCUGUGUAGGGUACGGGCCCACCAUGGGAGGAGCUGUUUACUUUCACUCUAAAACUAACAUUUCACAGCUCCUGUGACCACUUCUGGUUACUGCCGCUGCUGGGUUAAAAAGGUGCUGGUGGAUCAUUUGGUGACAUUAUCGUUUGUUUCGUAACCACCGGGGCUCCUGAAUUGAAGUGUCUUCUCACUUCUCACCCUGUAAAAUUUGACGUACACAUUUUUUUUUACACAGCAUGUUCACCAAGGUAGUCGGGUUGUGCUGUCAAGAGCUGCUUGAUGUUACUUUAUUGUGCUCUUCAACAUUCAGUCCACCAAUGAGUUUUUGGUCAGUGUGUGUCACUAAUGAUUGCCCCCCUCUUCCUCUUCAGCAAAACUGGAAAUGGUGCUUGUCAAAACUGUACCCUAAACCAACACAAUCAACCGCGUAGAUGCCAGAUGUAGGAAUUUCACCUUUUGACAUUUUCAACACCCCCGAACAGAAGUGCUUCUAACUUCCAAAGUGGAAGUUAUAAAGUUGUAAAGUGGAAGUGUUGUUUCAAAUGGUUGGACAGUUGUUUCUGUGCAUGUAGGGAGCAACAACAGAGAGAUGCUGCGUUGUAAAGGAGCCACAAGCAGACAUAUGCCAAGCCAGAGGACAGGAAAUGCACUCCAGAUGAAGAUACUACAGCAUGGUUUAUUUUACCAGUGUGUGUGUGUGUGUGUGUGUUGUCAGGAAUGUGUGCUGCAGGACCGACCAUAUGUCUCUCAAGUUGCAUCACAGCAUUUACAUAUCCGGCUGUUGACUAUGGCAGUAGUUUAAAAAAACAUUUUUGAUUGAUUGAUUGCUUGUUUAGCUUAUGUAAAUGUGAAUAAUCAUAUUUACUAGAGCCUAUGGUUCAAGUCGCUCCGCAAGAUAUUUUACUGCAAUGUUCCAAAUUUACAACUCG